rnacentral:misc_RNA from 1 species
GAUGAAGAACGCAGCGAAUUGCGAUAAGUAAUGUGAAUUGCAGAAUUCAGUGAAUCAUCGAAUCUUUGAACGCACAUUGCGCCCGCCAGUAUUCUGGCGGGCAUGCCUGUUCGAGCGUCAUUUCAACCCUCAGGCCCCGCCUGGCGUUGGGGAUCGGCGCGGCCCUCUCCGGGCUGCCGGCCCCGAAAACUAGUGGCGGUCUCGCUGUAGUCCUCCUCUGCGCAGUAGCAACGCUCGCACUGGAACUCGGCGCGGCCACGCCGUAAAACACCCCACUUCUGAAAGUUGACCUCGGAUCAGGUAGGAAUACCCGCUGAACUUAAGCAUAUCAAUAAGCGGAGGA